rnacentral:rRNA from 1 species
GAUGAACGCUGGCGGCGUGCCUAAUACAUGCAAGUCGAGCGAACAGAUGAGGAGCUUGCUCCUCUGACGUUAGCGGCGGACGGGUGAGUAACACGUGGAUAACCUACCUAUAAGACUGGGAUAACUACGGGAAACCGGAGCUAAUACCGGAUAAUAUAUUGAACCGCAUGGUUCAAUAGUGAAAGACGGUUUUGCUGUCACUUAUAGAUGGAUCCGCGCCGCAUUAGCUAGUUGGUAAGGUAACGGCUUACCAAGGCAACGAUGCGUAGCCGACCUGAGAGGGUGAUCGGCCACACUGGAACUGAGACACGGUCCAGACUCCCACGGGAGGCAGCAGUAGGGAAUCUUCCGCAAUGGGCGAAAGCCUGACGGAGCAACGCCGCGUGAGUGAUGAAGGUCUUCGGAUCGUAAAACUCUGUUAUUAGGGAAGAACAAAUGUGUAAGUAACUAUGCACGUCUUGACGGUACCUAAUCAGAAAGCCACGGCUAACUACGUG